rnacentral:lncRNA from 1 species
GGGAGCCCGAGUGAGGACCUGGGCUGACCUCUGACCUCCUGACCCCCAGCCCCUGCCUGGUCAUGCCCUCUGUCUAGGUCUAGGGCACCCCAAUGACACCAGAGGGAGUGACCUGCCCUGAGGCCUGUGAAGCCUGGACCUGUAAAAGGAGUCUUCUGCAAACAGGCUCUUGGCUUCCCCGCUGCCUGAGGCUAAGCCCCUCUUUGGAAUCAGUGAUUGAAAACAUCCCCAAGCGUCCAGCUGACGCUGAUCCUUGGCAAGGCCCAGCCUGAGAGGGGGCUGGGCGGUGGCCGCCCCGGACCGGCCUGUGGGUUUGGACGUGGAGCCCAUCGCCCCCGGUCAGGGUAUGUGGGGGUAGCAGGCUGAGGGGUCAGAGGUGAGAACCCUGCUCCAGGCCCUUGCAGCCUCCAGGACGGCACACCCCGGGUGGCGGGCGGGGACCAGGCGAACCGUAUGGGAGGGUCCAAGUUCAACAGGACGGGGUUCGUGGCCGUGGACGCUGCCAGGUUUGCAGAUCGAAGUGCGGAGAGGGGGCUGGAAGACGAAGCCACGCCCUCUCUCCACCCAUCCUCCCCCAACGCCCAGGGCCGAGAGCCCACCCUUGGGGGCUGAGAAAGGAGUCUCCGGGGUCCCUUCCCCAUCGAGGGGUGAGGAGGCUGCCCCUGAGGCACGGGGUACAGGGCAGCGGGCCCACUUGGGCCGCGGGAGUCCUGGACCACGUGGGUGGAAGGCAGCAGGAAUCCCGACCGCGGAGCCUCGGGAGGCGGCAGAGCCCUCCGCGCCGAGAGGGGGCGCUCCAGCGCCGCGGCGGACUCCCCGCGCUGCUGCCAGGGCAGGGCAGAGGGUCCACGGCCUCAGAAGAUAAGAUGGGGAGGGCCUGUGGAAAAGUCUGGGGCAUUUUGCAAAAGGCAGUGUCCAAUCUAUUACUUAGAACAUAGGUUAUAGAAUUUUGAGACAGUAUUCGAUGAAAAGCGACUGUCACUCGAGCUCUCGAACCCAGAGACCAGCCACCCUGGCACACCGCCACGCCACUUCAGAACACGGUAAGCUGGGUGGGCCUUUGGGCUGUCACCUGCUGGGAGAGGGGCAGUGCGUGUGCGGUUCUUCCAGGGUAGCCCCUGCGAAGCAGGGGCCCUUUGGAUCCGUGACCACAGGGAACCUGUUGCUGGUGUGCGAGCUCUGGGCAGCCAGAGGGUCAAUGGCGGCGAGCGACUUGGAUCCAUUACCGUUGCUGUGGUUCUGAUGAGGCAGCAGUUCCAGGGCCCUGCUCCCAACCAAAGCAAAGUCAAGGUAGGGCCAUUAAACUCUGUCUCCUUGGAAAUGAAAUCCGGGUGCCAAGUCACCCCGGGAGAGAAGAAGGCUAGAGCCAAGUAAACUCACAGCCGCAUCCCCGAGUCGCAUUCCUCCAGUUCUGGCUGCUGAGAAGCUGGCUUUCCCCAAGUCCUUAACCUUCUUUAAUCUGGACAUUGAUCUCUCCUUCACUUGCUCUGUUUCCAAUAAAUCCCUCACCAAACUCA